ACGUUUUCUCCCAGUUGCAUUUCAGACCAGAUAUAAGGAGGUUCUUGUAAAGGCACAUACUGUUGCAUCUGGAGCGGUGCUAAGAUUGCAAAUAGCUCCUGUUCUUGGUAGGAAAAGGAAACCAAUUGAGUGGUCUGAGUUUCAGAUAAAUGCUAUUCAUACUAGCUUUUGAAAGAUAUCUAUGGUUAUGGUUGAAGAAUGUUGAAGACAAAAUUGCCUUUUGCUCAUGGAGUGGUUCAUUUAGAUGUUCUUCAAUUUCUUAAACUGUGAUUGCUUUUGUAAAUGUACCUUAUGUACAAGUGAUAUUUUGGACAAAUGUUAUUUUUGUAGGCAUUAGUUGGGUAAUGUACACUUGAAUUUGGCAUUUGAGAAUGCUAUAUUAUUACCAUGUAAUCUAAUGCAAAUACUUUUGGUUAUCAA